rnacentral:rRNA from 1 species
UACAGAGGUCUCAAGCGUUGUUCGGAUUCAUUGGGCGUAAAGGGUGCGUAGGUGGCGCUGUAAGUCGGGUGUGAAAUCCUGAGGCUUAACCUCGGAACUGCAUUCGAUACUGCGGUGCUUGAGGACUGGAGAGGAGACUGGAAUUCAUGGUGUAGCAGUGAAAUGCGUAGAGAUCAGGAGGAAGACCAGUGGCGAAGGCGGGUCUCUGGACAGUUCCUGACACUGAGGCACGAAGGCCAGGGGAGCAAACGGG